GUUGAGGCCUAUCCCGAUGGGGCCUUGCUGUAGGUUCGUGUCGUUGGAAAUGCCUCAAAGAGCAAACUUGCGGUUUCGCUUUACCCAUCAAACUAUGUGUUAGAUUGGUGGGAUAAAACCACAAGACAAUU